rnacentral:pre_miRNA from 1 species
UAAGAGAAAGGACAAGACUAAGAUGUAAGAGAAGGGGAAAGACUAAAUUGUCCUUUCUCUUACAUCUUAGUCUUGUCCUUUCUCUUACA